UGGCCCUUUCCAAUGAAGAAAAAAAAAUAUAUAUAUUAAUAAUAAGAGGCAAUGCCUCUUUUUCUCUCAGAACCGAGAGAAGGAAAGAAGAGAAAGAAAAGAUGGGGAAACUUUUCUCAUUUUUGCGAUCUACGGAGAUCCAACGGUUUGAUCUUCAAUCCGUCUACGGAAACGUAAUCCUUGAAGCCCGAUCUACGUUUUGACCGAACUUUUUAAGGAUAGUGUCCGGAUUGGAGACUUUAAUGGGUUCUCCAAUGUAGAGUUCGAGUCAUGUGUCCAAUGCAGCCAAGAUGAUGUUCUUUUGGCUGCAGGUAUUCCGGUCGUAGUUGAUAGCAUUGUAGAAGGGUAUUUUGGAUGUUAUGACUGAAGCACGCCGCAACGGUCGUAAUUGGUGGACCACGGGUUGUCCACUUGUUUAUAGGUUUAGUUUAUGGCUUGUGACGUUUGUGUCACUUGUUAUUGUACAAAACCAUUUAUGUCACUUAUUUAAUUCGUGGAAAGAUUUAAUCAUAUAGAUACUUAAUGGCUCUUUGUUGUAAUUAUUUGUGAUAGAUGUAUAAGAUGUGAUUUCCGCUAUUAGGUUAUGUUUUCCGCUGCAUAGUUGAUAGAUGUUAUACUCUGAUUUAUCAGGUACAUAUUAUGGGGUAUGUACAUAUGUUGGCUUUGCGACAUAUCGUCGUGCCACUGUGAAGAUCCGUUUAUAUUUUAAGGGAUUAAUGAUUAUGUGGAUGUUUUGUAGCAAAAAAAAAAAAAAAAAAAAAAAAAAAAAAAAAAAAAAAAAAAAAACGGGUCGUCACAAUUUUUCUUGCUUAAGAUUUAUGUGUAGACGUGAUAUGUAUAAUGGAAUGAUUGUGUGCACAUAUGCCUAAGCUACCAUUCAAAAGUAUUAUUAUAGAGGAGUCUAUAUGUAAAAACUUCCAAUGAAGGAUGAUUGGAACUUCUACAUGAUAUGUUCACAGCUAUAUAGUAUGUUUUAAAUGUUUUCUAGCUAGUCAGUGUUUAUUAUAUUAGCUAUUGGUAAAUUGUGGCUGAUAUAAUACUCGCAUGACUAAAAAUAAAAUAAAGGUUAGUUCUUUAUGAAAAUUCAGUUAGUUUAAUAUCACUGAGGUCUUAGUAUGUUUUAUACUGAGAUAGUGGAGUUAUUCUUUCACCUAUGCAGAUGUAGAUACCACCACAACCGGGUAAAUGAUAUUCUUAUAAUUGCAUGUACUCCUGAUGUGGAUGAUGAUCCGGUAGCGUUCUAUUUGGGUUACUACGAUUGAAGCCUGUAGCGACAGUCGUAGUGGGAUGGACUGUGGUGUAAAGACCAAGAAAAAUAAUAAGUAUUUAGUAUUUAAUGAUUUAUGUUUUUAAAUAAGAUGAGAUUAAUAAUUAGGUUUUAAGUGAUAAUAUUUGUGUUAUCUAAAAUAAAAUGAGUUUAGGAUAGAAUAAUAAAAUAAGAUAGGGUAAUAGUGCAAUUUAAAAAUGAUAGGGGCUAGUAUUAAAUAAGACCAAAGCUUGGCCUUAUCCGUAGCCACGUGUGUGGCUAUGGAUUAAUGGGGAGAUAUUUCUCCCCUCAAUCAUGCAUCAGCCCCCCCGCCCCCCCCAUUCUUCUUCCUCUGUUCUUCUUUUCUCCUUUGUUCUUCCUUCUGCCCGAGCGACACAGAGAUGCGAGACAGAGAGAUAUCGAGAGUUUGAGAAGAGAGGAUCCAGUGAUUCGUGAGGGGAGACUCGGAACCCAGGGGGACCCGAUCCUCUGUGGACGGUGGCUGGAGCUGAUGGUGCCGGUGGAACCAAGACCCGAAUUUCGGUGGGUCUAGCAGAGGCGAAAUAGAGAGAGGGAGACUCGAGAGACGGAGACUGAGAAAGAGAGAAAGGGAAGUUUGAGAGAGUGAGUCCGAGAGUGAGAGUGAUGCUGUCGGAGAGUGAGUACGAACCGGAGAAGAAGAGAAACCCAGAGACCCGUAGCAGACCUGAGCCGAACCCGUCAACGUUGGUGACCUGUGAGCUGAUUUCCGGAUCGUGUCAUAGUUGGAGACUUCAACGGGUUCUCCAAUGUAGAGUUCGAGUCGUGAGUCCAAUGCAGCCAAGAUGGAUGAUGUUUCUUUGGCUGCAGGUACUUCGGUAUAGUCGAUGGGUCGGUAGCAGUGUGCUUGGGAUAUUAUGACUGAAGCUCGCCGCGACAGUUGUAAUUGUCGGACCACGGGUUGUCCACUGUUUUAUAGGUUUGGUAUGGCUUGUGACGUUUGUGUCACUUAUUCUUUGUUAAGCCAUUAUUGUUAUAGUGUUAAUAAGACUCAAGCAGAUAGAUGUUAAAUGGCUCUUUGUUGUAAUUAACUUGUGAUAGAUGUAUAAGUUGUAAUUUCCGCUAUUCAGAUUUA